UUUUCAAAAACAAAAAAAGUUGCAGAAGGUUGAGAAUUGAAACCUUAUGAUAUGUUAAAGUGUAGUAUGACACACUGACUACAGAACACAUAUAGGUGUGGAACCGUUCUUUAAUCUGAAAGCUCCAAUCUUUGUGACAGGAACAGGAUUGGCAGCUAGCAGCUAGCAGCUAGCAGCCAGCAGCCAUUGGUACUUCCAUGAGAUGAGGGAGAAGAAAGCCUCCAAAUCUUUAUCUUCAACCUCUCUUUGUGCCACACUUCGUGACGCAUACCACAAUUGCUUCAACAGGUGGUACGCCGAGAAAUUCAUGAAGGGUCACUGGGACAAACAAGAUUGCGUUUCUGAGUGGCAGAAAUACCGGGAGUGCCUUUCUCAACAUUUGGAAGAUAAGCAUCUGAUUGGUUUCUUACAAGCUGAAGGCAUUGUUCAAGACAGUGGUGUUACUUCUCAGUAACUUGUGGAGAGUAAGGUUUAAGAAGGGACCAAGGCAAUGGUCAUUGCAUUCUUCAGUAGGAUGUCAAGUUACAGGAUUAGUUGACAGGGCUUUAAAUUUUUGGUGCAGGUAACUGACUGCCAACGGAGAAAGCUUAUUCCUGUGAUGAUCAUUGUUGAUAUGGUAUUAUGUCCGCUACCUGUGCGCUGUAUCUUUGUUUGAAUAGAGCAAGCUUUGUAUUUCUGUAAGAAAUCUUUCUGGUUUAUGGAUUAUGGAAAUCAAUUGUAGUAUCGUUAUUUCUAUUUUUUUUUUUUUUGGACUUUGGGAAUUGCUUUUGAAUAUCUAACUCUUAUGCUAUGCAAUGCUUAUGAAUAAAAAUGAUGUUUGGAGAA